rnacentral:lncRNA from 1 species
CUCUCUGAGGAGGCAGCAGCUCUCUCACGAGGCAGCAGCUUCUCUGGAGGAAGCAGCUCUCUGGGUGCCCUUGGCCAGUGUUCAUCAGAGCACUGCCAAGAUGUCAAAGAGACAGGACGAGAACGUCCAAUUCCAGCCCCGUGAGGGGCAGCGAUUGCUGUCCAAGCGGCAACAGGUGCCUCAGAGGCCGCCGCAGGCAGCAGCAGAGGUCACAUGGGUGACCAUCGUGCCCCUCCACGGGGACAGACUCACAGGACACCUCACACAGGUGACACAGAACACCUCGUGGAGGUGUCCUCAGAAGGACAGCCUGGAGGGCAGGUAUUCACUGCUCCGCAGCGGCACAGUCACACGGCCAAAGAGGUUGUCCGUGUCAGACUUGCCGCCACUCCAUGGCCCUCCAUUGACAGUGACACCUCCGUGCCGGCUCAGCUCUGAAAUGCCAAGAGCAGCCUCGGCAAGGGUCAAGCUGCCCCCUCUGCCAGCAGCCCCAGCAGCCUCUGGGGCUUAUCCCAGAGGCAGAGCAUUGUCCAUGGGCCCUGUGGCCAGCAGCCACCGAGAGCUUGUGCCACCUUCUCGGUGGGGCACUGUGGCUGCUCACAGGGCCCGGGGAACACCUUCCCUGGACAGCUCAGCUGAAAGGCUCUGGCGAGGGUCAGCGGCAAGGCAGGGCCAUCACCUGCCACCCCUGCGACGUGCAGGGGGCAUGCUGCUCCGCACAGGGACCCAGCCUGACUGGAAACACCUGGGGCACAGCGAGAUGGAGGAGCUCAUUGAGGUGCAGGAACAGCACAGUGGCAACAUCUAUGCAGACCUGCUUAGAAGCCUUGCCCUGUGCCUGUAUGAAGACACAUCUACCAGGUCUACCUGCACCCAGGCGCAGUCAAGUGUCUGCCAGGAUGUACAUUCACAGCACCAGGUGGUGCCCAGUGCUCCUGGCUUGACCAAACAUGCCAUAGGAGAGACGGGAAAAUUCUCUAAGCUCCUGUCUCCUGCCCAGGUGUCAGAGCAGCAGUCUGUCUCUGACAACUCCCAGUCCUGGGACACUCCUCCAAAGGAGCCAAACUGGCAGGAGGAAGAGCUCCCAGUAACAGAGGCUGCAGGAGACAAGGCCAGCGACCCACAGGGCACGUUGCUUGCCCUAUUGAAAGAGAAAGAGGGAGAGCCAGGAUCUUCUACCCGGGACAAAGAUCCCUGGGAUGAGGGGAACAGCAAGCUUUUGCCCACAUCAGAGCCUGAGGUAAGCUCAGACUUCACAGCCUCUCCCUCAUCUGGACGCCACUGUGAAGAGAGGGGAGCUCAUCAGCUGCCCGAGCACACUGCACAUGGCAAGCUGCUGUGCACGGGGCCUGAGGAUGCUUCAAAGCAUCCUCUGAAUAUCGAUGCAGAGGAGCUGGAGAAGUUGGAGGAAGACAUCCUCUCCUCCCUGCAUCAAGAAAGCCCCUCGGUGCCACACAGUCUUUGUGGCUGGAGCAAAGACUCUGUAGGAGAGACCGAAAACUACACACAGCUCGUGCCCCCUGACCGGUAUGAAGAGCUGUGGUCUCUCUUAAACAACAAGGACGCCCCAUCCAGGGACGCUCGGCUAGACCAGCUACUGGCCAAGUGGGAGGAAGAAGAGCUCCAUGACACAGACACUGCUGGAGAGAGGGACAGCGAGUCACAGAGCUCGUUGUCUCUCCCACUGCAAGAUGCGGGAGCAGAGCCAGAAGCUUUUCCCCUGCACAGCGAUCCCUGCGAUGAGGAGCACAGGCAGCAUCUCCCCAUGGCACUGCCGGAACACACAAAGAUGUUUGCGGUUUGUGCCUCGCCUGCUGAUCCUGCGGAGGAGGCCGACGCAGCAUGGCUUGAGGCUGGCUGUGCCCAGGCCGCCCCUCCCCAGGAAGAGCCCCACAGGGCUGGGGAGCCGGCAGGGGCUUGCCCGCUGCCUGCCCAGCCCCUGGCACGCAGCGCUCCUGCUUGCCCCGCCGGCAGCGCAGCCGUCCCGCAGCCCCCGGCCCCACGGCCAUGGCGCUCCAUCGCCAAGACGGCCCGGCGGGCUCUGCGCCGGCUCUUCUCCUUCAGCUGCCUCCGGGGGCAGCGAGAGGACUGAGCCCAGAGCCAGAACCAGGAGGAGGCCCUGAGAUGCCGGCUCCCCCUGAGAAUGGUCGGCUCCCAGUGGCAGGUCCGGGUGGCAUUGGCACCCCACCCCAACUUUACCCCUUCUCCCCUUCUCCCUCUCCCUUUUCCCAUCCCUAUCCCUCUACCCCACAUUUCUUGUUAAAUAAAAUCCCCGUUGUUAACGUUGGUAGAUGGUCU